rnacentral:rRNA from 1 species
UGCUGGAGGUAUCAGAAGUGCGAAUGCUGACAUAAGUAACGAUAAAGCGGGUGAAAAGCCCGCUCGCCGGAAGACCAAGGGUUCCUGUCCAACGUUAAUCGGGGCAGGGUGAGUCGACCCCUAAGGCGAGGCCGAAAGGCGUAGUCGAUGGGAAACGGGUUAAUAUUCCCGUACUUGGUGUUACUGCGAAGGGGGGACGGAGAAGGCUAUGUUGGCCGGGCGACGGUUGUCCCGGUUUAAGCGUGUAGGUGUGUGUUCCAGGUAAAUCCGGUUCACUUUAACACUGAGGCGUGAUGACGAGGCACUACGGUGCUGAAGCAACAAAUGCCCUGCUUCCAGGAAAAGCCUCUAAGCAUCAGGUAACAUCAAAUCGUACCCCAAACCGACACAGGUGGUCAGGUAGAGAAUACCAAGGCGCUUGAGAGAACUCGGGUGAAGGAACUAGGCAAAAUGGUGCCGUAACUUCGGGAGAAGGCACGCUGACACGUAGGUGAAGUGAUUUACUCAUGGAGCUGAAGUCAGUCGAAGAUACCAGCUGGCUGCAACUGUUUAUUAAAAACACAGCACUGUGCAAACACGAAAGUGGACGUAUACGGUGUGACGCCUGCCCGGUGCCGGAAGGUUAAUUGAUGGGGUCAGCGCAAGCGAAGCUCCUGAUCGAAGCCCCGGUAAACGGCGGCCGUAACUAUAACGGUCCUAAGGUAGCGAAAUUCCUUGUCGGGUAAGUUCCGACCUGCACGAAUGGCGUAAUGAUGGCCAGGCUGUCUCCACCCGAGACUCAGUGAAAUUGAACUCGCUGUGAAGAUGCAGUGUACCCGCGGCAAGACGGAAAGACCCCGUGAACCUUUACUAUAGCUUGACACUGAACAUUGAGCCUUGAUGUGUAGGAUAGGUGGGAGGCUUUGAAGUGUGGACGCCAGUCUGCAUGGAGCCGACCUUGAAAUACCACCCUUUAAUGUUUGAUGUUCUAACGUGGACCCGUAAUCCGGGUUGCGGACAGUGUCUGGUGGGUAGUUUGACUGGGGCGGUCUCCUCCUAAAGAGUAACGGAGGAGCACGAAGGUUGGCUAAUCCUGGUCGGACAUCAGGAGGUUAGUGCAAUGGCAUAAGCCAGCUUGACUGCGAGCGUGACGGCGCGAGCAGGUGCGAAAGCAGGUCAUAGUGAUCCGGUGGUUCUGAAUGGAAGGGCCAUCGCUCAACGGAUAAAAGGUACUCCGGGGAUAACAGGCUGAUACCGCCCAAGAGUUCAUAUCGACGGCGGUGUUUGGCACCUCGAUGUCGGCUCAUCACAUCCUGGGGCUGAAGUAGGUCCCAAGGGUAUGGCUGUUCGCCAUUUAAAGUGGUACGCGAGCUGGGUUUAGAACGUCGUGAGACAGUUCGGUCCCUAUCUGCCGUGGGCGCUGGAGAACUGAGGGGGGCUGCUCCUAGUACGAGAGGACCGGAGUGGACGCAUCACUGGUGUUCGGGUUGUCAUGCCAAUGGCACUGCCCGGUAGCUAAAUGCGGAAGAGAUAAGUGCUGAAAGCAUCUAAGCACGAAACUUGCCCCGAGAUGAGUUCUCCCUGAGACUU